rnacentral:rRNA from 1 species
CAAAAACAUAGUCAUGUGGAAAGGUACGUGGUAACUUCUGCUCAAUGAAAUAAAUAGCUGCAGUACUCUGACUGUGCUAAGGUAGCGCAAUCAAUUGACUUUUAAUUGGAGUCCUGAAUAAAAGAAUGCAUGGGGAGCGACUUUAUUAGAAAUUGUUCGUGAACUUAACUUGUAAGUGCAAAAGCUUACAUUAUAAUAAUAGACGAGAAGACCCUAGAAAUUUUAUAGAACAAGAGGUUUGCGUACUUUUUGUUGGGGCAACAAAGUAACAUAUAAUUUACUUUCAAACAAGGAAAAAGUGUUAAGGAAGAUGAAAUUACUCUAGGGAUAACAGCAUAAUUCACAAAGUUUAUGACCUCGAUGUUGGACUAGGGUGUAGUUGUUUAGAAGAUUUACUACUUUGCUCUGUUCGAGCA